rnacentral:rRNA from 1 species
AUUGAACGCUGGCGCAUGCUUUACACAUGCAAGUCGAACGGUAGAGGGGGCAACCCUCGAGAGUGGCGAACGGGUGAGUAAUAUAUCGGAACGUGCCCAGUCGUGGGGAUAACGUAGCGAAAGUUACGCUAAUACCGCAUACGAUCUACGGAUGAAAGCGGGGGACUCGCAAGAGCCUCGCGCGAUUGGAGCGGCCGAUAUCAGAUUAGGUAGUUGGUGGGGUAAAGGCUCACCAAGCCAACGAUCUGUAGCUGGUCUGAGAGGACGACCAGCCACACUGGAACUGAGACACGGUCCAGACUCCUACGGGAGGCAGCAGUGGGGAAUUUUGGACAAUGGGCGCAAGCCUGAUCCAGCAAUGCCGCGUGCAGGAAGAAGGCCUUCGGGUUGUAAACUGCUUUUGUACGGAACGAAACGGUCUGGGUUAAUACCCUGGGCUAAUGACGGUACCGUAAGAAUAAGCACCGGCUAACUACGUG